UCACUUCCGUUGGGGUGCCCGUGAGGGGCUGAGAGGCGCGACGCCAACCCAUCGAACCUGAUCCGGGCAAUGCCGGCGUAGGGAACGGAGACCGAUCCGGC
rnacentral:ncRNA from 2 species